rnacentral:rRNA from 1 species
GAUGAACGCUGGCGGCGUGCCUAAUACAUGCAAGUCGAGCGAACGGACGAGAAGCUUGCUUCUCUGAUGUUAGCGGCGGACGGGUGAGUAACACGUGGAUAACCUACCUAUAAGACUGGGAUAACUUCGGGAAACCGGAGCUAAUACCGGAUAAUAUUUUGAACCGCAUGGUUCAAAAGUGAAAGACGGUCUUGCUGUCACUUAUAGAUGGAUCCGCGCUGCAUUAGCUAGUUGGUAAGGUAACGGCUUACCAAGGCAACGAUGCAUAGCCGACCUGGGAGGGUGACCAGCCACCAUGGGCCUGCGAUACGCCGCAGACGGGUAUCUGCGGCAGUAGUCGGGAAUCUGGCGGAGCGACGGCACGUGAGUUAUGGAGGCGUCGGGUGCGGGAUGCCCGGUUUUGGGUGAAGAACAUAUGUGGAAUUUACCGAGGACAGCGUGACGGUACUUAGUCAAAAAGCCACGGCUAACUACGUG